rnacentral:lncRNA from 1 species
CACUUUUGAAUUUGGAUGUUAUUUCCUUUCCUAAACAAAAAUAUUAUCUCUUUUUUUGGAGUACAAGCGUGAAAUAAGACUGCAGAAUUGUCUCUUGACAAUCCUACUGCAGGACAUCAAGCAUAAGAAGUUUGAAUGGCAGAAGUGGCUCUGGGUACAAGCUUCUGCCUUGGAGGCUCUGUGGCAGACAGCAGUAUGGGAGCUGCAGAUGAAAGGACAGAUGUGGUAACAAAUAAGUGUCCAGCUGGGGGACAAUGAUCCCUUUUAUCUGCUUUCCUUCAAGGGCUAAAAUGCACAGCAUAACAGUGAAUGCAUUGAAUUUAAAUUAUUUUUAUGAUGAUAAAUGCUAAACCUAGCUUUACAUUUCCUUUUUGAGUGCUGCUAGCUAAGUCCUAGGGAAGCAUGCACUUGCGUUGUCUUUGUGGUAAAAAUGAUCAAAAUGCAAAGUCCUAAAUUUAUGUGUUUUCCUCUACACAUCUCUAUUGUGGCAUAAGCAUUGUUUUCGGAGUCUGCCUUUUGUUCAGUGGUCAUUUGGCAACAGUGAGUGCCGAAAAUACAAUAGCGGACGUGCUGGAGCACUUAUCUGUUCCCGUGAUCCUCUGUUGAGCUGUUAAACUCAUAUAACUUAAUGCCAGCAGAACUGUAGUAAUUUGAGGAAAAGCUUUUGCAACAUGAUUCUUCGGGAAGAGGGAGGAGCAGGACUGAGAAGAUUCAAUCUGCCCUGGAGAGACAUUCAAUAGAACAUGCUGUCAGUGAGCUUUCAAGAGAAUGGGUUCAAGGCCUGCUCCCAGCUGUAUUACUUUCAGGGUUUGAUACAUCUUACUAGAAGAAAGGUAGACACUGGAACCAUGAAAGACUUGAAGGAAUACAGUGACAUGAGAAACAACCAGGUUUUCCAGUCCUUACUAAUGGUUCCCCUAGAAGAGGACAGACCACAUCCAAUCCAUCAAUAUAAGGAAACUUUCAGGUGCAACAUCGGAUUGAUGGUACUAGUGCCCUGUGGAUGUGCAUCAAUAUCGUACAGUGAAGAAAAGAUCAGUUACACAAUUCCUACAACUGUCAGUCACCACUGAGGCUGAAAAUGGGUAGUGUACAACAGAAGGGACUGCACAAGUAGUUUCUUCUUCAAGAUAAACAUUGGCCUGGCGAACUGGGCUCUUCCAAUAAGUUUCUACUGUGUAAUUUUUCAAAAGUUAAUCAAAUCACUCACCACCUGAGAACUGUUUUCAUCUUGUUUUAAAGAAUAUACUGUGAUUUAGAAAAGUGCUGAGCUCUUUCAGCUGUAACCAAUGAUAAGAGGAGCUAUGCUUGAGCAUGUUAUGCAACGUAAU